rnacentral:rRNA from 1 species
UACGAAGGGGGCUAGCGUUGUUCGGAAUUACUGGGCGUAAAGGGCGCGUAGGCGGUGUGUCAAGUCAGGCGUGAAAGCCCCGGGCUCAACCUGGGAACCGCGCUUGAGACUGGCACGCUCGAGUUCGGGAGAGGAUGGUGGAAUUCCCAGUGUAGAGGUGAAAUUCGUAGAUAUUGGGAAGAACACCGGAUGGCGAAGGCAGCCAUCUGGACCGACACUGACGCUGAGGCGCGAAAGCGUGGGGAGCAAACAGG